AGCCAGGUGGUCCAACGGCAGGAUACAGGCCUCUGAAGCCUUGUGGUGUAGGUUCGAAUCCUACUCUGGCUU
rnacentral:tRNA from 1 species